rnacentral:rRNA from 1 species
CCUACGGGUGGCAGCAGUGGGGAAUAUUGCACAAUGGGGGAAACCCUGAUGCAGCGACGCCGCGUGAGUGAAGAAGUAAUUCGUUAUGUAAAGCUCUAUCAGCAGGGAAGAAAAUGACGGUACCUGAGUAAGAAGCCCCGGCUAACUACGUGCCAGCAGCCGCGGUAAUACGUAGGGGGCAAGUGUUAUCCGGAUUUACUGGGUGGAAAGGGAGCGUAGACGGCAGUGCAAGUCUGGAGUGAAAGGCGGGGGCUCAACCCCCGGACUGCUCUGGAAACUGUACGGCUGGAGUGCAGGAGAGGUAAGUGGAAUUCCUAGUGUAGCGGUGAAAUGCGUAGAUAUUAGGAGGAACACCAGUGGCGAAGGCGGCUUACUGGACUGUAAUUGACGUUGAGGCUCGAAAGCGUGGGGAGCAAACAGGAUUAGAUACCCUUGUAGUC